rnacentral:rRNA from 1 species
CGGCGGACGGGCGAGUAACGCGUGGGUAACCUACCCCAAAGUCCGGGAUAACAGCGGGAAACCGCUGCUAAUACCGGAUGUCUUUACCUUGGGGCAUCUUGAGGUAAAGAAAGGUAACGCUUUGGGAUGGGCCCGCGUCCCAUUAGCUAGUUGGUGAGGUAACGGCUCACCAAGGCGACGAUGGGUAGCCGGCCUGAGAGGGUGGACGGCCACACUGGGACUGAGACACGGCCCAGACUCCUACGGGAGGCAGCAGUAGGGAAUAUUGCGCAAUGGACGGAAGUCUGACGCAGCGACGCCGCGUGAGCGAUGAAGGUCUUCGGAUCGUAAAGCUCUGUCCUUGGGGAAGAAGGCGAAAGCUUGACGGUACCCAAGAAGAAAGCCCCGGCUAACUACGUGCCAGCAGCCGCGGUAAUACGUAGGGGGCGAGCGUUGUCCGGAAUUACUGGGCGUA